GAUGAACGCUAGCGGCAGGCUUAAUACAUGCAAGUCGAGGGGCAGCGCAGUGUAGCAAUACAAUUGUUGACGACCGGCAAACGGGUGCGGAACACGUACACAACCUUCCUACAAGUGGGGAAUAGCCCAGAGAAAUUUGGAUUAAUACCCCGUAACAUAGCGAUGUGGUAUCACAUUGCUAUUAUAGCUUCGGCGCUUGUUGAUGGGUGUGCGGCUGAUUAGAUAGUUGGCGGGGUAACGGCCCACCAAGUCUACGAUCAGUAGCUGAUGUGAGAGCAUGAUCAGCCACACGGGCACUGAGACACGGGCCCGACUCCUACGGGAGGCAGCAGUAAGGAAUAUUGGACAAUGGACGCAAGUCUGAUCCAGCCAUGCCGCGUGAAGGAUUAAGGUCCUCUGGAUUGUAAACUUCUUUUAUAAGGGACGAAAAAAGGUCUUUCUAGAUCGUCUGACGGUACCUUAUGAAUAAGCACCGGCUAACUCCGUGCCAGCAGCCGCGGUAACAC
rnacentral:rRNA from 1 species